UGGCUCCGUAGCUCAGCCUGGUUAGAGCACUGGACUUUUAAUCCAGGUGUCGUGGGUUCAAAUCCCAUCGGGGCCAU
rnacentral:tRNA from 1 species